rnacentral:rRNA from 1 species
GCCUACACAUGCAGUCGUGCGGGAGAGAAGCGGUAGCUUGCUCCCGGAUGUUAGCGGCGGACGGGUGAGUAACACGUGGGUAACCUGCCUGUAAGACUGGGAUAACUCCGGGAAACCGGAGCUAAUACCGGAUAGUUCCUUGAACCGCAUGGUUCAAGGAUGAAAGACGGUUUCGGCUGUCACUUACAGAUGGACCCGCGGCGCAUUAGCUAGUUGGUGAGGUAACGGCUCACCAAGGCGACGAUGCGUAGCCGACCUGAGAGGGUGAUCGGCCACACUGGGACUGAGACACGGCCCAGACUCCUACGGGAGGCAGCAGUAGGGAAUCUUCCGCAAUGGACGAAAGUCUGACGGAGCAACGCCGCGUGAGUGAUGAAGGUUUUCGGAUCGUAAAGCUCUGUUGUUAGGGAAGAACAAGUGCAAGAGUAACUGCUUGCACCUUGACGGUACCUAACCAGAAAGCCACGGCUAACUACGUGCCAGCAGCCGCGGUAAUACGUAGGUGGCAAGCGUUGUCCGGAAUUAUUGGGCGUAAAGGGCUCGCAGGCGGUUUCUUAAGUCUGAUGUGAAAGCCCCCGGCUCAACCGGGGAGGGUCAUUGGAAACUGGGAAACUUGAGUGCAGAAGAGGAGAGUGAAAUUCCACGUGUAGCGGUGAAAUGCGUAGAGAUGUGGAGGGAACACCAGUGGCGAAGGCGACUCUCUGGUCUGUAACUGACGCUGAGGAG